AGUGAACGCUGGCGAUAGGCCUAACACAUGCAAGUCGAACGGCAGCACAGUAAGAGCUUGCUCUUACGGGUGGCGAGUGGCGGACGGGUGAGGAAUACAUCGGAAUCUACUUUUUCGUGGGGGAUAACGUAGGGAAACUUACGCUAAUACCGCAUACGACCUACGGGUGAAAGCAGGGGAUCUUCGGACCUUGCGCGAUUGAAUGAGCCGAUGUCGGAUUAGCUAGUUGGCGGGGUAAAGGCCCACCAAGGCGACGAUCCGUAGCUGGUCUGAGAGGAUGAUCAGCCACACUGGAACUGAGACACGGUCCAGACUCCGACGGGAGGAAGCAGUGGGGAAUAUUGGACGAUGGGCGCAAGCCGGAUCCAGCGAUACCGCGUGGGGGAAGAAGGCCUUCGGGUUGUAAAGCCCUGUUGUUGGGAAAGAAAAGCAGCAGGUUAAUACCCCGCUGUUCUGACGGUACCCAAAGAAGAAGCACCGGCUAACUUCGUG
rnacentral:rRNA from 1 species